GAUGAACGCUGGCGGCGUGCCUAAUACAUGCAAGUCGAGCGAACGGACGAGAAGCUUGCUUCUCUGAUGUUAGCGGCGGACGGGUGAGUAACACGUGGAUAACCUACCUAUAAGACUGGGAUAACUUCGGGAAACCGGAGCUAAUACCGGAUAAUAUUUUGAACCGCAUGGUUCAAAAGUGAAAGACGGUCUUGCUGUCACUUAUAGAUGGAUCCGCGCUGCAUUAGCUAGUUGGUAAGGUAACGGCUUACCAAGGCAACGAUGCAUAGCCGACCUGAGAGGGUGAACCGCCAAACUGGAACUGAGACCCCGUCCCGGCUCCUACGGGGGGCAGCAGUAGGGAAUCUUCCGCAAUGGGCGAAAGCCUGACGGAGCAACGCCGCGUGAGUGAUGAAGGUCUUCGGAUCGUAAAACUCUGUUAUUAGGGAAGAACAUAUGUGUAAGUAACUGUGCACAUCUUGACGGUACCUAAUCAGAAAGCCACGGCUAACUACGUG
rnacentral:rRNA from 1 species